UACGGGGGGGGCAAGCGUUGUUCGGAAUUACUGGGCGUAAAGGGUUUGUAGGUGGCUUGUUAAGUCAGACGUGAAAUCCCUCAGCUUAACUGGGGAACUGCGUCUGAUACUGGAUGGCUUGAGUUCGGGAGAGGGAUGCGGAAUUCCAGGUGUAGCGGUGAAAUGCGUAGAUAUCUGGAGGAACACCGGUGGCGAAGGCGGCAUCCUGGACCGAUACUGACACUGAGGAGCGAAAGCCAGGGGAGCAAACGGG
rnacentral:rRNA from 1 species